rnacentral:ribozyme from 11 species
AUUUCGAACCAUUCACCAAAACAAAAUACAGUUGAAGAAGUCAUUGAGUCAAGAGGUAAAGGGAAAAGACUUAAUGUGACUAUGUGUCACAUAAUGUGUGUGAAAAGACUUUAUUGUCGUCUCUUUGUAUGUCUUUGUUUUCUUUUC